GUGCCCGUAGCUCAGUUGGAUAGAGCGCCAGACUGCGGAUCUGGAGGUUGGGGGUUCGAAUCCCCCCGGGUCCCCCC
rnacentral:tRNA from 1 species